rnacentral:tRNA from 1 species
GGGGUUGUAGCUCAGUAGUAGAGCAUCUACUUUGUAUGCAGAAGGUCCCAGGUUAAUUCCCCAGCAUCUCCA